UCAAGAUGUGCCCGAGCUGCUUCAAGGUCGGGUUUCCCAGACCCGACAGACGGGUCCGCAUGUGCUAGCCAAGCUGCAUUGAU
rnacentral:tRNA from 1 species